AACGCAACUUGCGCUCUCUGGUAUUCCGGAGAGCAUGCCUGUUUGAGUGUCAUGAAAUCUCAACCAUUAGGGUUUCUUAAUGGCUUGGAUUUGGGUGUUGCCAGUCUACUGGCUCGCCUUAAAGGAGUUAGCGAGUUUAACAAUGUCCUCUGGAGUAAUAAGUUUCUCUGGAAAGGCUUGUGAAGUUUGCUUCUAAUCGUCUUCGGACAAUUACUUUGACUCUGGCCUCAAAUCAGGUAGGACUACCCGCUGAACUUAA
rnacentral:misc_RNA from 1 species